rnacentral:rRNA from 1 species
AGAGUUUGAUCCUGGCUCAGAAUGAACGCUGGCGGCAUGCCUAACACAUGCAAGUCGAACGAGACCUUCGGGUCUAGUGGCGCACGGGUGCGUAACGCGUGGGAAUCUGCCCCUUGGUUCGGAAUAACAGUUGGAAACGACUGCUAAUACCGGAUGAUGACGUAAGUCCAAAGAUUUAUCGCCGAGGGAUGAGCCCGCGUAGGAUUAGGUAGUUGGUGUGGUAAAGGCGCACCAAGCCGACGAUCCUUAGCUGGUCUGAGAGGAUGAUCAGCCACACUGGGACUGAGACACGGCCCAGACUCCUACGGGAGGCAGCAGUGGGGAAUAUUGGACAAUGGGCGAAAGCCUGAUCCAGCAAUGCCGCGUGAGUGAUGAAGGCCUUAGGGUUGUAAAGCUCUUUUACCCGGGAUGAUAAUGACAGUACCGGGAGAAUAAGCUCCGGCUAACUCCGUGCCAGCAGCCGCGGUAAUACGGAGGGAGCUAGCGUUAUUCGGAAUUACUGGGCGUAAAGCGCACGUAGGCGGCUUUGUAAGUAAGAGGUGAAAGCCCAGAGCUCAACUCUGGAAUUGCCUUUUAGACUGCAUCGCUUGAAUCAUGGAGAGGUCAGUGGAAUUCCGAGUGUAGAGGUGAAAUUCGUAGAUAUUCGGAAGAACACCAGUGGCGAAGGCGGCUGACUGGACAUGUAUUGACGCUGAGGUACGAAAGCGUGGGGAGCAAACAGGAUUAGAUACCCUAGUAGUCC